AUCCAAAUUUGUGUUAUAUCGGGAUAGAGAUAAGAAAUAACAGACUUCAACCCCAUUGUCCCACUGCAAAUUUUUGUACACAAAGUCAAUCCCUUACCUCUCUCUAAAAGUGCAAAGUUUCAAAAAGUUCAAUGAAUAGAAGAUUGUUGGGGACAGAAUAGAACUGGACAAGGAGAAGAAGUCAGGAGAUAAAUGUGGGAAGGGACGGACAGGCAGCAGAACCAAAAGUGAAACUGUUUGAGCAGCAUAUUCCAAAAG